UAAAAAGCUAGCUUAAUCACCUAAACAAUGACAACAGCAUUAAAACAUUUCACAAAACCACAACACACAAAACUAAAACAUUCUCCCGCCCAAGUAAGUGAGACAGAAAAGGCCAACACAAAGCAAUAAAAAAGUACCGCAAGGGAAAGCUGAAAGAGAAAUGAAAUAAAUCAUUAAAGCACAACAAAGCAGAGACCAACACUC
rnacentral:rRNA from 1 species